GAAGCUAGAGGUGUCAGAA
rnacentral:snRNA from 1 species